rnacentral:tRNA from 1 species
CGGGAAGUAGCGUAAUUGGCUAUCGCGCUUGCUUUGGGAGCAAGAGACUGUGGGUUCAAGUCCCGCCUUCCCGA